rfam:Caenorhabditis japonica strain DF5081 Contig17481.10, whole genome shotgun sequence.
CCAACGGCCCUCUUUAGGGCCACAACUUUUGAAAUCCGAAUUUGUGU